UACGUAGGGGGCAAGCGUUAUCCGGAUUUACUGGGUGUAAAGGGAGCGUAGGUGGUUCGAUAAGUCAGAUGUGAAAGCCCGGGGCUCAACCCCGGGACUGCAUUUGAAACUAUCGGGCUAGAGUGCAGGAGAGGUAAGUGGAAUUCCGAGUGUAGAGGUGAAAUUCGUAGAUAUUCGGAAGAACACCAGUGGCGAAGGCGACUCGCUGGACAAGUAUUGACGCUGAGGCACGAAAGCUAGGGGAGCAAACAGG
rnacentral:rRNA from 1 species